AUUUAGUCUAUUUAUAUUUGACAAAAUUAAAGAACACCAUACAGAGAACACUAACAUGGCCCCUCCACAAGGAUGACAUGCAAAUUUGUGAAGUGUCUAUAGUUUUA
ensembl:snRNA U6 U6 spliceosomal RNA